GAUUGCAAAUUAUGGGUAUUUUGUUGUGUUCACAACGUGAUUUUUUUUUUAUGCCAUCACCAACAUUCUGUAAAAUCAUGGGCUUCAUCACUAAAAGAAAACCAACAAAUUUGUAACCCACAAUCCAAAACGAUGCCAUGUUUGUAAUCCACAAUCAAAAUCUAUGGGUUACGCAAGGCAAAUUCAGUAGGGUCACGAUGGAGUGAUUAAAAGAGAUUCAAUGGAAGAGAGGCUUCUGCUAUUGUGUCUAUGGAUUUUAGGGUUACCACCAAAGCAGAAGCGGAAUAUCAACAAUUGGUUCCAUCGACGACGCUGUCGCGUGGGCGCUGUGUGUGGCAGUCCUUCCUGCGCGUUACGCCCUCAGAAGCGCCAGCAAUGGGUAAAGCCAACGAGUAAUAGAUGGCAGAAACCUUGAAGCGGAAGCAUAGAACUGUAAUUCUGUACCAGUGCAUCUUGCUUUAAUGAACCCUGACUCUCAACCUUAGUGUCGAACAUCUGUAGACAUAAACCCCCACCCUAGCUGAAAAAAAAAAAAAAAAUCGCCACUUUCUCCAGUGGCGAUUGGCCCAGUUCACUAAAGAUUUUGAGAAAUUCCCUGAAGCCCCUGCACUUCAUACGUCAACUGACGCCUCUGGUCAGUUCGCUCAUUCAGGUACGAUCAUCCGAAUGAUAAAGUAGUUCUAAGGGCUGGCGCUUUCGGCGGUGUCUGGCAGAUAGUUUUGGAAGAAGAGAAAGAAUCCUGUCACAGAACGAGAAAGCAACGCACCUCGAAACUCCAACGCACACGUAUGUAAGUUACAUAAAUUUAUGUAGAUUGAGGUUGCGUGCUCACUCGGUCUCUCAAAUUUCCAAGGGAAGGCUGCGAUAUACAGAGAUAGUUCAGAAAACAAUCCUCUGCGAGUUGAUUCAAAGGUUUCUACGUUGUGGCUUCCUGGCCAUGAACAAGAAAAAUUGCAUGGUUGCAGAGCUGCAGGUGGUCACCUGAGGGAUGUUUACCUUCGUUAGCGAAAUAAACAGAUAUAUAUAUAAAUGUUUCUUCGUCAUCCUUCUAAGUGUGUGUCACUGACAGAUUCUCUUGACUGUAAAAGAUCUUUGCCUUG
rnacentral:lncRNA from 1 species